rnacentral:rRNA from 1 species
GCUCCCCGUGUGUAAGAAACGUCGGUGUAUGGAUGGACCCGCGUCUGAUUAGCCAGUUGGCAGGGUAACGGCCUACCAAAGCGACGAUCAGUAGCCGGCCUGAGAGGGUGGACGGCCACAUUGGGACUGAGACACGGCCCAAACUCCUACGGGAGGCAGCAG